UCAAUUGAGGCAUUUAAAAUAUUUACGA
rnacentral:piRNA from 1 species